GUUUCUUUGCCAAUACUUUAAGAAGAGAUCUGUCGUGAAGAUCAGCACUGACUUUGACAUGAGUGACCCGGUCAUCCAACAACAAAUCUUAAAGCAGCUGGAGGCAAAGAUGAAAAGCAAGGGGAUCAGUGACUUCAAAAUCCGCUGGAAGACGUCAGGACGAGUUUCACGCAAGACUGAAGACAACACACAAAUCCAGUUUGGACCAAAUAAGUACACACAAGUCAAAACAAAGGAGGU